CUCUGCUUGACAGACAGCUGUGCUACUAUGAAGAUCAGCUGGAUAAUGACCAAAGUCUAGAGGCCAUCUCUUUGAUGAAUCAUACAAGUGAAAGUGAGGUCAUCAUGCAGAAGAUGAGGGCAACGCUUGAAUACAGACAGCGCCUUGUCCAUGAUCCAGAGAGGUCCACCACUGUUCUUUCAGUUUUUCCUUGAUUUCUGGAUACUAAAGGAUUGAUUCUUCAAGACUUCACGCUCCUCUUUGGGUCUGAAACUGCUUCCAGACUUUUGGAAAGGUGGCCAACAGCUUUCAAAGCAAUCAUCUUCCAAUCUGAACAGAGAAGGCAGUGAAGCCCAGGAUUCUCCAGAAUGGGACAGUGACAUAUCUUCCUUCCUUCCUUCCUUCUACUCCUGCAUCUUUUAUGACCCCAGGCUUCAGGAAGAAAGAAAACCCAAAAGAUCAGUAUCUCUCAGGCUGUUGACCAAGAUGGCGC